rnacentral:sRNA from 1 species
ACUUAGCCCCGAUAGAAGCGGCAUCCUUUUUCCCGCUUCUUUAGCGGGGAAAAGAUAUAGCGGAUAGCGGGACAAAAA